GUCGUGGGGCAGCAUGAAGUAGCAAUACUUUGAUGGCGACCGGCAAACGGGUGCGGAACACGUACACAACCUCCCGAUAAGUGGGGAAUAGCCCAGAGAAAUUUGGAUUAAUACCCCGUAACAUUGCGAUGUGGCAUCACAUUGCAAUUAUAGCUUCGGCGCUUAUUGAUGGGUGUGCGUAUGAUUAGAUAGUUGGCGAGGUAACGGCUCACCAAGUCUACGAUCAUUAGCUGAUGUGAGAGCAUGAUCAGCCACACGGGCACUGAGACACGGGCCCGACUCCUACGGGAGGCAGCAGUAAGGAAUAUUGGUCAAUGGACGAAAGUCUGAACCAGCUAUGCCGCGUGAAGGAUUAAGGUCCUCUGGAUUGUAAACUUCUUUUAUAUGGGACGAAAAAAGGUCUUUCUAGAUCACUUGACGGUACCAUAUGAAUAAGCACCGGCUAACUCCGUGCCAGCAGCCGCGGUAAUACGGAGGGUGCAAGCGUUAUACGGAUUCACUGGGUUUAAAGGGUGCGUAGGCGGGCAGGUAAGUCAGU
rnacentral:rRNA from 1 species